GCUGGACAACCUGAUUGGCAACAAACUUCUCCUGCAGGAAGCCGACAAGCGCGGCAUCGAGGCGAGCGAGGAGGCGAUUGCCGCGGCCACGAAGGAACUGGUUCAGGCAAACCAGUUUUCAACGGAGGAGGAGCUGUUCGCAGCCCUUGAGGAGCGGGACAUCCCCCGGGAGGAAGCGGACGAGCAGAUCCGACAGCAGGUCCGCCUGGAUGCGCUGCUCGCUCAAGAAGGGGCCGACGACGCGCCGACCGAAGAGCAGCUCACGGCCGCCUACGAGCAGGCCAAGACGCA
rnacentral:misc_RNA from 1 species